GGCCGUGCCCCUCCUCCCGGCUCGGGAACCCCGCGGGCGAGGGCGGCGGGACCGAGCGGCUGCCGGGAGCGGUGCCCGCGCUGUGCCGCGCCCGCGUUACAGCUCUGUGCGCUUCCACACGCCGCGGGGUGUGGGAAACCAGCGUCCUCCGGGCAGGCUGGAGUUUGUUUGAAGGUGUCGCAGAGAAAUCCGUCAAUUUAAGAAAAGUCGCUGCCCUUUCAGCCCCGAGUCAGCUGCCACGGGCGAACUGCUGCGCUCCGAGGCUGCCGUGUGUCAAGUGCGGCACGGCAAUAAGACAAAUAAAGAAUGUGUUCAGCGUUUGCUUUGUACGUUAUCCAUUUCACUGAAUCACAGCGUUAUUCGCACAGAGCUGCCUUGCAGGAGCAGCACAGAAAUCUUGUCCUACGGCCACUGAGAAGUUGGUCCCAGCAGAGAAACAAACAGGCAGAACUUCUGGUCAUGAGUGAGCAAGGAUUUUUUAAAUGAAAAAAUAUAUCCACUAUUAUCAGGUAGCAGUUCAAUACACGGUGGAAUUUAGCAAGCAAGACACAAUUGUCACUGAAGCGCCUGC